ensembl:lncRNA LINC00702 long intergenic non-protein coding RNA 702
ACGUAACAUUCAAUCAAUUAUACCAUUGCUCUAUCUCUAAAGUUUUCUUUUUCUCCUUUUCUCAGUGUCUUACCAAGAAUGAAAGGCAACCUAUGUAAAAACUAUGGGCUUUCUAGUAUAAAUAAAAACUACUCAUCUCCAGAAAAUAAACAAUGACUGCUAAGAUGAUUGAAAAAAGAAAGGAGAAGAAAGUAGCUUGUAAAAGCGUGUGAAAUGCAUUCACGUUGGAAUCUCCUACAGGCACUUCAGGUCAAAGACUACCGAUGUCCAGAUCAUAAUGCGAGGACAGUUUGAGCCCAGUGCUCUCUGACUGAGGUAGAACCCCCGGGAAGGUGAAGAGGGCAGCCGUCUGCGAAACAGCCCAGCAUUUAAGAAUGGGCAGCACCUGGCCAGGUGCAUUUGAGAACUAGGAAUGUGGCAACAAUAACAUUUAUUUAUUUGGAUGAAGAGAAGAAGAUGUAUUGGAUUCCCUGAAACAAUCAUUGACCUGCCUGAAUCCCAACUGUUGCACUGACUCCACUAAUUCACCAAUCCACUUGAGCUGGGAGGAGAGCCCAUGCACAGAAGUUUAUGGAUAAACAGACCUGAACGUCUAGCAUGAUGUCAAAUUUAUAUGGCCACAGAACUACAAAAGGAAAUAACUAUAACCUCACUGACCACAGUGCUGCUGACACUUGGACAACAUGGGUUUGAGCUUCAUGGGUCCACUUAGACAAUAAUUUUUUCACUAACUAUAUUGGAAAUGUUUUUGGAAAUUUAUAACAGUUUGAAAAAUAUUGUAGACCAACAUGUAGCCUAGAAAUAUUAAAACAUUAAGAAGCAAGUAUGGCAUGAAUACAUAGAAUAUAUGUAGAUACUAUUCUAUUUUAUCAUUUACUACUAUAAAUAUAUGCAAAUCUAUUAAAUGAGGUUAACAUUUAUCAAAGCAUGUGGUCACAAACUCUUAUAGUUUGUACAUGGCACCAUUUACAGACAAGGAAAUAGAAGCCAAUGUAAAAAUGCAGUAUUAAGUCAUAACCGCAUAAAAGUAACUGUGGCACAUACUGCACUACCAUGAUAAUUUCACAGGCACCUCCCACUGCUAUUGUGGUGAGCCCACGUGUUGUGAGCUUCCGCAUAAAGCCCUGCAAUUCUGAUCAUUGCCACGUGGGCAGUUUGUGUCUCUAGUUAGUUGUGUACUGUAGUAAAAAGUGAUCUCGCAGUUCUUGCAUAAUUUCCGUGUUUAGUGCGAUAUGGUAAACAUUGAAUAGCACCAUGAAACCCACACGAAGGGCCACUGGUGAUGUUGGAAGGCUCCCAAGAAGCAGAGAAAAUUCAUGACAUUACAAAAUCAGUCAAAUUUCUUCAUAUGCACUGUAGAUUGAGGUCUGCAGCUGGGGUUUCCCAUUGUUUUAAGAUAAAUGAAUCAGCCUAAAGAUCAUUGUAAAAAAAGAAAAAGAUAUUGGAGAGGCUAUAACUGCAGCUAUGCCAGCAACAGCAGUAGUUACAUUUCUGAAGAGACAAAAUUUGUCAGUGGGUUUUCAAGAGCUCAAGGGUAACACCCUAACCCCCACGUUGUUCAAGGGUCAACUGUAUUGCAGUCAAAAACAGAAAUUUAAAAAAAAAAUUCCUUCAAAAAAAUAAAAUUGUAUUACACACUUGCUAAUCCAAUUUUGACACACAAUUUUCUUCACCAUCAAUAUAAGAUAUGCUAUGCCAGGUUUCCUUAUUUGUAAUAAUUCAUGUAUUACUUAUAGUUUGCUUUAGAUAUGGUGGUUCUUUGUGUAAAAUGUAUUUGUUUAUUUUUAUUAUUUAUUUAUUUCUUAUUUUUCAUUUUUGAGACAGAGUCUCACUCUGUCGCCCAGGAUGGAGUGCAGCGGCAUGAUCUCAGCUCACUGCAAUCUCCUCCUCCUGGGUUCAAGUGAUUCUCCUGCCUCAGCCUCCUGAGUAGCUGAGAUUACAGGCAUGUGCCAUCAUGCCCAGCUAAUUUUUCUAUUUUUUUAAUAGAGACGGAGUUUCACCAUGUUGGCCAGGCUGGUCUUGAACUGACCUCAAGUGAUCUGCCCACCUCAGACUCCCAAAGUGCUGGGAUUAC